rnacentral:rRNA from 1 species
AGUGAACGCUGGCGGCAGGCCUAACACAUGCAAGUCGAGCGGCAGCGGGUCCUUCGGGAUGCCGGCGAGCGGCGGACGGGUGAGGAAUACAUCGGAAUCUGCCCUGUCGUGGGGGAUAACCUAGGGAAACUUAGGCUAAUACCGCAUACGACCUACGGGUGAAAGCGGGGGAUCGCAAGACCUCGCGCGACAGGAUGAGCCGAUGUCCGAUUAGCUAGUUGGCGGGGUAAAGGCCCACCAAGGCGACGAUCGGUAGCUGGUCUGAGAGGAUGAUCAGCCACACUGGGACUGAGACACGGCCCAGACUCCUACGGGAGGCAGCAGUGGGGAAUAUUGGACAAUGGGCGCAAGCCUGAUCCAGCCAUGCCGCGUGGGUGAAGAAGGCCUUCGGAUUGUAAAGCCCUUUUGUCCGGGAAGAAAUCGUCUGGGCUAAAACCCCGGGCGGAUGACGGUACCGGAAGAAUAAGCACCGGCUAACUUCGUG